UUGCAUCCAUUCAUUGAACUGUUUGGCAGGUUAAAGAGGUAGCUCCAGAAGCAAGACGAAGAGAUGCAAGUUUGUCAUUUGCUUUUGUGUAUCCUGAUAAACGAGGGCGGUUUGUGGUUAGAGAGGUGGGGAGAACAUACUCUUAUCCAAAUGGGAGACGACCUGAUAGUGGCAGCAAAAGCUUGAGUGAACUAAAAUUUCAGAUUGGAGAUUACUUGGAUGUGGCUAUCACGUUCCAGUGACCUGUAACAGCACCCGCAUUCAAAAUAGAACCAUCUAGCUUAUGCAUUAGUUCAUUAUAUGCUGGGUUAAUGCUACCUUUCUCUGUAAAAUUAACAUCAAAUCCAGUGUCGAUGCAUUCCAGACCUUGUCUAGUAUUCGUUUAUAUCUGCAAGAUGGUUAAACAAGUAUCUAAGGGUAUGUGCUAAUGUUCAAUCAAAUGGCCCAUUGAAGACCAGGGUUCAAUUUCCAACAAUGAAAUUACAAUAGGUGAUUUUUCUUACUUGGUACAAUAUUGUGGAAGAUAACAGGUAUUAACCGAGAAAUAUGCUACUGUUAUAGAAAAAAUUCAAAUAA